rnacentral:lncRNA from 1 species
AUAAACAUGUGCUCAAAUGAGCAAAGGGCAAGAGCAAAUGAAUAAUAUGUACAAGAAUAGUAAAUUGCAUAAAUGUAAAGUGCAAGAAUUAAAUGUUAAUGGUUAGUGUUAGUAUUAGUGUGCCAUAAGGCAAUUUAGCGCUAUGUUAAGCUAUCGUAAUUGGACUUAUGUAGAAGUCACAACUAUUUGAGGUCGGUCAAUAAUAAUGUAGGCAACGACACAAGUUAGAGAUCUUGAUUAGUGAAUCAAGC